AUAUUAUAUAAAAUUAAUGAGAUCACCUUUUUAUUUGAUAACCAAUUUAUUACUCCAUCGUCACAUUUGGUUCCUUUCUCCAUUCUAUUAACAAUAAAUUGGUUGUGCUUGUUUUAUUAUCACAGAAUAGUGUUGGAGUUGAGAUAGCUAUCACGUCACAUUAAUAUAUAAUAAACAUUAUCUUUUGCUGUAUUAUCGAUCAAUGUAUACCAUUUUAAUUGCUCCUCAAAAGCAGUGUGGCACGUUUAAAACAUUUUGCUAUUUUCAAUGUUCUAUAACACACUUUCUUUUGCUAAAGCAAAACAUAGACAAUGAUUGCGUGUGAUUGAUAAGUUUAGGAAGAAGUGUACAAAAGAUGUACAGGAAGACAGUAAUUUUAAUUUUCAGUUUUUUUUUUCUCACAAUUAAUGUAAACUACAUUUGUGUAAAUUAUUUGAACAUGAUAUAUAUUAAGUGACUAAACAAAAACAAAAACAAAACAAAACAUGGUUAUCUGCAGAAAGGAAUGUUUGCAUGUGGGUUCUUAUUGCAAUAUGCUAUUUGUCACAGGACAUCCUAAGCAAACAGCAGUAAAUACAAAAUGGUCAUUGAAUAUGCACGUUCCAAUUUCUUAAAAUUACUGUCCCUUGAAUUAAAUAAACAGAGUGUUUUGUUAACUCCCCUGAUUUAGAAAUGUCUUGUGAAUUUACAGUGGACCUGCCACCUUUGAAAUGUACGAUUCAUCAAUUUUACCUUCAGAAACUGACUAUGCAAUUAUCUAUAUACAUAUAUGCAAUGGAUAUAUAUAUAAUUAUUAUUUAAGAAUUGUUAUAGAGCAGGGGGGCCAAAAAAGUAGAACUACAAUUCCCAUGAUGCUUUGCAUACCUUUAGAAUGUCUUUAGAAUGACAAAACAUCAUGGAACAGUAGUUUUAAAACAUCUACCUUUUGGGCACCCUAGUUAUAGAGUAAAAAGGUAUCUGACAAUCAGAAUAUUGUAUUCCCUUACACUUUCACCAUUGCUAAAAUAAUGGGACUGUAGUUACCAUUGAGGCAGGAGUAUACAAAGGAAGGAAAUAUUAUGGUUUUGUUGUCCUAAACACUUUGGAUAGGCUUAUGGUGCUGGGGAAACCUAUGUCUUUUUUUUUUCAAACCUCUUGAAAACGGCUUGACAAAACCUGAAUAGAUUCUACCCAUAGCUUCUUUGCACCAUAAUCUGUUCAAUAAUUUGUAGUGACUAAGGUGCUUGAAUCAUCACCUUUACAUUUUAUUAAUAUCGGGGGUGCCAACAAUCAAACCCACUAAGGUUGCCAUGUACCCUAGAUACAUCCCUGGUUAGGGGUGAAGAUAAGUUUAUAAGGGGACGUAGACAAGGCAAAGACAUAUUUAAUGCUUGCUGUAGACGUGUGGUCUGCAAUUGUAUGUUAAAAUUACAUGAUAUGACAUUCUUUUGUGGAACAUGCUAGCAAUACAGGAACUAGGUUUGUGCAUUUUAAGUUUAUAUUAACCAUAUUAGGUGUAUAGGAGGGGACAUAGUAUAGCUCUUCCAGGACUGGCAGCUCAUUGCA